GAUGAAGAACGUAGCGAAAUGCGAUACUUGGUGUGAAUUGCAGAAUCCCGUGAACCAUCGAGUCUUUGAACGCAAGUUGCGCCCGAAGCCACUAGGCCGAGGGCACGCCUGCCUGGGCGUCACACGUCGUUGCCCCCCCAUCUACUCCUUCGGGAUUGCGGGGGGGCGGAUGAUGGCCUCCCGUGCGCCUAGCCGCGCGGUUGGCAUAUAUACCAAGUCCUCGGCGACGCACGCCACGACAAUCGGUGGUUGCGAAACCUCGGUUGCCCGUCGUGUGCGUUCGUCGCGCAUCGAGGGCUCGAAAAAAUGCUCGGCUCCGGCUGGGCUUUCAACGCGACCCCAGGUCAGGCGGGGUUACCCGCUGAAUUUAAGCAUAUCAAUAAGCGGAGGA
rnacentral:misc_RNA from 1 species